GAAUAUAAAUAUCUUACACUGGAAAGACAUGAUUAAGUUUGCAGCUAUUUUACUUGAAUAUAAAAAUGUUCAUAGUAUGGCUCCCCGUCCACUCAAAAAAUCCAUUCAACAAAAUCCAAAGUCCCCCACCAGAGCAUCUACAAGAAGGGAUUGUAAAAUACCAUGUAGAAAAAGUAGUUUUGGACAGUCAGGUUUUUCCUUUCAUCAUCAUCAUCACAUCUAUCAAAUCCUUCUCCAAAUCCAUAAAACAUUGGUUAUUGACUAAUCAAACAUGCUGCCAUAAUACAGAAUAUUGUGUUUGUCUUUGUCGCUAUAGUAGUGUCUCUGUGUGUGCUUAUGUGUUGUUGAUGCGUUCCAAUGUGUGUUGCUGCACUUUUAUCUGUAUCUACUGUGUGUGAUACUUGUGUUAGGUUUUUCUCAUGCCAUCAACCUGCCACCUGUGAUGAUCUGGAUUAGCGGUUGUGUCAUGUUACUUGUCUAUGCCUAUGCCUUUCUUAUUUUAUGUUAAUGUCUUGCAUUGUUGUUGCUGAGCUAUUAUUUUUAAGCCAUUAACCUGCUUGGGACUGCAGAUGAAAAUUAGCCUGUUUGGCUAAAUCUAGCAUAUUUACAUGUUGGACUCAUGUUGAUGAAUCUGCAUUGUCGCUUUUAAAUAAAGAAAU